rnacentral:rRNA from 1 species
AUCUAAUCCUAGUUUAUAGGAUUAGAUACCCUAUUAUUAUAGAUUUAAAUUUAAAAUUUUAAGGAUUAAUAGUUAAGUUCUUUAAACUUAAAAAAAUUGGCGGUAUUUAAAACUAAUUAGGGGAAUUUGUUUUUUAAUCGAUGAUCCUCGUGAUACCUUACUUUAAUUAAUUAAUUAGUUUAUUUCCGUUAUCAAAUAACUUUUAUAGAAAAAUAUUAUAGUUGUUGAAACAUUUUAUUAUUUAAUAGAAUAUUAUUUCAGGUCAAGAUGCAGUUUAUAUUAAAGUUAAAAUGAAUUACAAUAAUUUAUAAUUAUUAUGGAUAUUAAAUUGAAAUAUUUAAUUGAAGGUGGACUUAAUAGUAAAGUAAAAAAUUAUAUUUAUUUGAAUUUAGACUUAAAUAUGUACAAAUCGCCCGUCGCUUUCACUUCAAGGUGAAAUAAGUCGUAACAAAGUAGGUGUAUUGGAAAAUGUACCUAGAAAGUUUUUAUUAUA